AGUUUGAUCAUGGCUCAGGACGAACGCUGGCGGCGUGCCUAAUACAUGCAAGUCGAGCGGACAGAAGGGAGCUUGCUCCCGGAUGUUAGCGGCGGACGGGUGAGUAACACGUGGGUAACCUGCCUGUAAGACUGGGAUAACUCCGGGAAACCGGAGCUAAUACCGGAUAGUUCCUUGAACCGCAUGGUUCAAGGAUGAAAGACGGUUUCGGCUGUCACUUACAGAUGGACCCGCGGCGCAUUAGCUAGUUGGUGGGGUAAUGGCUCACCAAGGCGACGAUGCGUAGCCGACCUGAGAGGGUGAUCGGCCACACUGGGAUGAGACACGGCCCAGACUCCUACGGGAGGCAGCAGUAGGGAAUUUCCGCAAUGGACGAAAGUCUGACGGAGCAACGCCGCGUGAGUGAUGAAAGGUUUCGGAUCGUAAACUACUGUUGUUAGGGAAGAAACAAGUGCGAGAGUAACUGCUCGCACCUGACGUACCUACCCAAAGCGA
rnacentral:rRNA from 1 species